UAGCUUGAAGUGAUGACUCUUAAUUUCAUGUCUCUUCAUCUUCACUGACAUUUUCUCUGGAGAUGGUUUCUUCCAUACUGAUCUGAUCGUGCUA
ensembl:snoRNA